GGGUUGUGAGGUUAAGCGACUAAGCGUACACGGUGGAUGCCCUGGCAGUCAGAGGCGAUGAAGGACGUGCUAAUCUGCGAUAAGCGUCGGUAAGGUGAUAUGAACCGUUAUAACCGGCGAUUUCCGAAUGGGGAAACCCAGUGUGUUUCGACACACUAUCAUUAACUGAAUCCAUAGGUUAAUGAGGCGAACCGGGGGAACUGAAACAUCUAAGUACCCCGAGGAAAAGAAAUCAACCGAGAUUCCCCCAGUAGCGGCGAGCGAACGGGGAGGAGCCCAGAGCCUGAAUCAGUGUGUGUGUUAGUGGAAGCGUCUGGAAAGGCGCGCGAUACAGGGUGACAGCCCCGUACACAAAAAUGCACAUACUGUGAGCUCGAUGAGUAGGGCGGGACACGUGGUAUCCUGUCUGAAUAUGGGGGGACCAUCCUCCAAGGCUAAAUACUCCUGACUGACCGAUAGUGAACCAGUACCGUGAGGGAAAGGCGAAAAGAACCCCGGCGAGGGGAGUGAAAAAGAACCUGAAACCGUGUACGUACAAGCAGUGGGAGCCUCUUUAUGGGGUGACUGCGUACCUUUUGUAUAAUGGGUCAGCGACUUAUAUUCUGUAGCAAGGUUAACCGAAUAGGGGAGCCGAAGGGAAACCGAGUCUUAACUGGGCGUUAAGUUGCAGGGUAUAGACCCGAAACCCGGUGAUCUAGCCAUGGGCAGGUUGAAGGUUGGGUAACACUAACUGGAGGACCGAACCGACUAAUGUUGAAAAAUUAGCGGAUGACUUGUGGCUGGGGGUGAAAGGCCAAUCAAACCGGGAGAUAGCUGGUUCUCCCCGAAAGCUAUUUAGGUAGCGCCUCGUGAAUUCAUCUCCGGGGGUAGAGCACUGUUUCGGCAAGGGGGUCAUCCCGACUUACCAACCCGAUGCAAACUGCGAAUACCGGAGAAUGUUAUCACGGGAGACACACGGCGGGUGCUAACGUCCGUCGUGAAGAGGGAAACAACCCAGACCGCCAGCUAAGGUCCCAAAGUCAUGGUUAAGUGGGAAACGAUGUGGGAAGGCCCAGACAGCCAGGAUGUUGGCUUAGAAGCAGCCAUCAUUUAAAGAAAGCGUAAUAGCUCACUGGUCGAGUCGGCCUGCGCGGAAGAUGUAACGGGGCUAAACCAUGCACCGAAGCUGCGGCAGCGACACUAUGUGUUGUUGGGUAGGGGAGCGUUCUGUAAGCCUGUGAAGGUGGCCUGUGAGGGUUGCUGGAGGUAUCAGAAGUGCGAAUGCUGACAUAAGUAACGAUAAAGCGGGUGAAAAGCCCGCUCGCCGGAAGACCAAGGGUUCCUGUCCAACGUUAAUCGGGGCAGGGUGAGUCGACCCCUAAGGCGAGGCCGAAAGGCGUAGUCGAUGGGAAACAGGUUAAUAUUCCUGUACUUGGUGUUACUGCGAAGGGGGGACGGAGAAGGCUAUGUUGGCCGGGCGACGGUUGUCCCGGUUUAAGCGUGUAGGCUGGUUUUCCAGGCAAAUCCGGAAAAUCAAGGCUGAGGCGUGAUGACGAGGCACUACGGUGCUGAAGCAACAAAUGCCCUGCUUCCAGGAAAAGCCUCUAAGCAUCAGGUAACAUCAAAUCGUACCCCAAACCGACACAGGUGGUCAGGUAGAGAAUACCAAGGCGCUUGAGAGAACUCGGGUGAAGGAACUAGGCAAAAUGGUGCCGUAACUUCGGGAGAAGGCACGCUGAUAUGUAGGUGAAGUCCCUCGCGGAUGGAGCUGAAAUCAGUCGAAGAUACCAGCUGGCUGCAACUGUUUAUUAAAAACACAGCACUGUGCAAACACGAAAGUGGACGUAUACGGUGUGACGCCUGCCCGGUGCCGGAAGGUUAAUUGAUGGGGUUAGCGGUAACGCGAAGCUCUUGAUCGAAGCCCCGGUAAACGGCGGCCGUAACUAUAACGGUCCUAAGGUAGCGAAAUUCCUUGUCGGGUAAGUUCCGACCUGCACGAAUGGCGUAAUGAUGGCCAGGCUGUCUCCACCCGAGACUCAGUGAAAUUGAACUCGCUGUGAAGAUGCAGUGUACCCGCGGCAAGACGGAAAGACCCCGUGAACCUUUACUAUAGCUUGACACUGAACAUUGAGCCUUGAUGUGUAGGAUAGGUGGGAGGCUUUGAAGUGUGGACGCCAGUCUGCAUGGAGCCGACCUUGAAAUACCACCCUUUAAUGUUUGAUGUUCUAACGUUGGCCCCUGAUCGGGGUUGCGGACAGUGUCUGGUGGGUAGUUUGACUGGGGCGGUCUCCUCCUAAAGAGUAACGGAGGAGCACGAAGGUUGGCUAAUCCUGGUCGGACAUCAGGAGGUUAGUGCAAUGGCAUAAGCCAGCUUGACUGCGAGCGUGACGGCGCGAGCAGGUGCGAAAGCAGGUCAUAGUGAUCCGGUGGUUCUGAAUGGAAGGGCCAUCGCUCAACGGAUAAAAGGUACUCCGGGGAUAACAGGCUGAUACCGCCCAAGAGUUCAUAUCGACGGCGGUGUUUGGCACCUCGAUGUCGGCUCAUCACAUCCUGGGGCUGAAGUAGGUCCCAAGGGUAUGGCUGUUCGCCAUUUAAAGUGGUACGCGAGCUGGGUUUAGAACGUCGUGAGACAGUUCGGUCCCUAUCUGCCGUGGGCGCUGGAGAACUGAGGGGGGCUGCUCCUAGUACGAGAGGACCGGAGUGGACGCAUCACUGGUGUUCGGGUUGUCAUGCCAAUGGCACUGCCCGGUAGCUAAAUGCGGAAGAGAUAAGUGCUGAAAGCAUCUAAGCACGAAACUUGCCCCGAGAUGAGUUCUCCCUGACUCCUUGAGAGUCCUGAAGGAACGUUGAAGACGACGACGUUGAUAGGCCGGGUGUGUAAGCGCAGCGAUGCGUUGAGCUAACCGGUACUAAUGAACCGUGAGGCUUAACCUUACAACGCCGAAG
rnacentral:rRNA from 1 species